AGUCAAAAUGACUCUCGGCAACGGAUAUCUCGGCUCUUGCAUCGAUGAAGAACGUAGCGAAAUGCGAUACUUGGUGUGAAUUGCAGAAUCCCGUGAACCAUCGAGUCUUUGAACGCAAGUUGCGCCCGAAGCCUUUAGGCCAAGGGCACGCCUGCCUGGGUGUCACCAA
rnacentral:rRNA from 1 species